rnacentral:snoRNA from 1 species
ACGACCUUACUUGAACAGGAUCUGUUCUAUAGGCUCGUACCUCUGUAUUCUUGAUUCCUAAGAAGACAGAAACCCAUGUCUGGUUGAUGAGCCAGGACCGGACCGGUGGUGCCAGGUC